rnacentral:lncRNA from 1 species
GGUCUCGCUAAGUUGUUAAAUUGCUUACCCUGGGCUCAAACUUGUGAUCCUCCUACUUCAGCCUUCCAGGGUGCUGGGAUGACAGAACGCUCUCCCAGGACCACCAAGUAAAGAAGGAGCUGAGCAUCCUGAAGAAUCAGAAGCCACAUAGAAGACAACCAAGGGACCCAGCUGCCAGCCAGUACCACCUACGACCUGUUUGUUGGUGCCCUUGCUGAUGAAUUCUAUAAACGACACUCAUGGACACUGAUGAGAAUCUGAUAGUCCUGUGGAGAGCAAAGAGUUGAUCCUGAACCAGUGCUGGGGAUUGAAUCCAGGGCCUCACACAUGUUAAGCAUGGCUGUACCACUGGGCACACCCCAGCCCUGUCCUGGCUUCCCCCACUACAGAGGCAGUGAUGAGGGGGAAGAGCCUGGAUGCUGUGUCACCCAGACAGACUCUCUCCUGCAACUUCUGCUGUCCUCCACUACACACAACUAGAGGCCAGGUGAGCCACCCUUCAUUCAUUCAGGAGGCAGCUGUGACUUGGGGCAUCUCUCACCCUCCCUCACCCUCGAUUUCUUCCUGCAGUAACAGCCUCUCAGGGCCAAUGGGAAAGUUAAAGAACCAGAACUGCAUAGCUGGUGCUCAGUAAGUGGUCAAAAUAAGUCUUGAAGAGUCAGUGCCUG